UCUUGGGUCUUUAUGAGUCCCUGCUUAACAUCGGACUUAUGUCCUCUUGAAUACCAGUUGUUUCUCAGAUUUAGCUGCAUAGCACAGAUAACUAAUGGGCUGCCAUAAGAGGAACUCCUAACAAUUUCUGACAUCACCACUGUCUCUCACUAAAUCACCAAAAAUAAGAAAUAAAUAUAAGAAUCAUCACAGAAGCAACAUGGUGGAAUGGGAAGCCCUGGACCUUCCUUCCCCAUCUGUCCCCCUACAAAUGUAUUGAUUUAGCAACAAUCACUGACAAAUUCCCUUUGUCAAAAAUCAGGAACUAAUAAAAAGAGUCAGGUCUGGUGGUCAAGGAACAACCCACUUCAACUCUGCACUAGCUGAAUGCUCACUAAG